UUCAGAGAUUAGGGAGAAAAUCGGAAGAGGGAGAGAAGGAGAGUGAAAGAGCUUCGCUCCAUAAUGGAGAUUCAAUCUUCUGAGUGAGGGUUUUAGGGUCGAGCGAUAGAGAUUGGAGAGAGAUUUUCUUUCUCUUUUCUUUCUUGUUCUGUUCGGUUAGCAGAAGGGAGCAAAUCUGAGAGGGAACCUUCAUGGCUUCCUUGAUUUGAAGUCGGCUCCUCCAUUCUAUUCUCCUGCAACCUCCUCCGAUCUCAAUGCUCGGCUAGAUUGAAGAACGAUCAGAGGCAUGGUGGCAGUUCUUGAGGCUUGCUUCACUCUACGGUUCUGGUUGGAGCAGUAGAUCAUUCCAGAAUCAGGAGUCCUCUGAUCCCUCAGGCGCAUUUGCUGAAAUGCUUUUCCCGAUCCAGUCUUGGUUUGUCUGCAAAUCUUUAGGGCUUGGAAGAUAUCUAGGAGUAGCGACCAGUGGUGAAUUGAGUUCAACAACGACAACUUUAAUGGAGGCAGUUGCAACCUGAGCGAGAUAGGGCCAACCGACCAAGAGGCUCCUGCGACCUGUGCAAGGUAGUGGCAACUGAUCAAGAGGCUCCCGUGAUCUGUACGAGGUAGUGGCAACCGAUCAGAGUCACCGCGGGUAGUGGCAACCGACCAGAAGUCGCCGCGAGUAGUGGCAACUGACUAGAGGCAGUCGCAACCUGAGUGAGGCAUUUGCUACACACCUGAAGCGAUUGAAGCUUGCUGGGAUUUUUUUUUAUUUAUUUUUUUAAAUAGGUUUCCCAUAUCCCCUUAUGUGUUGCUUGCUUAAGGUUUGUUAGACUGAAACAAUGCCCGUUCAUUCUCUGCAGAACUAGUACAUUUUGAUUCAUUGAAGUUUCUGCCAUCUUAUAAUGGGCUUAUGGUGUUAAUUUUCAGUUUUUGUUCAUUGUAAUUCUGAUGCUCUGUAUUUCUUCACUUAAUUUUUCAUUUUAAUUCUUCUUAUAUUUACUUCGACUACUGACUUUGGGGAGUGUGUUUUGUUGUUGUGUAAAUUUGGCAACUUAAUGUCUACAUCAAGUGUUAAUUGCAGCAAUGCUAAUCUACCGAAGUAUAGAAGCAUAAAAUGUAGAUGCAAUCGAAAAACUGCAUUAGGAUCUCCGAGACGGUCGAUAAUCCAAGCUGACUCUUUUACACAUGUUCUGAUUUUAAUGGUUGUAACUAUUUCGAAUGGUGUGAUCUACCAACAACUGAGCCCCCAGCCAUAAAAUUUUGAAGAGUUGCAUGAGGAAGUACAUGGACUGCAAACUGAUGUACAGGCUUUGCGAGAAGAGGCAUGGGGAAUUGCAAUAGAUGUCUAGGAGGUUGCAAGAGGAAUCGGGAACUAGGAAUGUUAGCUUGGAACAAAUAGAAAGCAUUGUUGGAUCAAUGAAGCAUGUUUGUCAGUUUGUAUUAGUGUUCUUUCUGGUGUAUUUCUAGCAUGUUUUAUGAGCAUGAAGUUUUGAAAACCUUUAGUACAUUUGGACAGAUGUAAUCUAGUUUCUCUAUCAGUAAUGAAAUGGUUUUCCACCUGUAA